CGAGUGAAGCGGGAAAAGCUCAAAUUUAAAAUCUGGCGGCUUUUGGCUGUCCGAGUUGUAGUCUGGAGAAGUGCUUUCCGCGCUGGACCGUGUACAAGUCUCUUGGAACAGAGCGUCAUAGAGGGUGAGAAUCCCGUCUUUGACACGGACUACCAGUGCUUUGUGAUGCGCUCUCAAAGAGUCGAGUUGUUUGGGAAUGCAGCUCAAAAUGGGUGGUAAAUUCCAUCUAAAGCUAAAUAUUGGCGAGAGACCGAUAGCGAACAAGUACCGUGAGGGAAAGAUGAAAAGCACUUUGGAAAGAGAGUUAAACAGUACGUGAAAUUGCUGAAAGGGAAACGCUUGAAGUCAGUCGCGUUGUCCAGAACUCAGCCUUGCUUUUGCUUGGUGCACUUUCUGGUUGACGGGCCAGCAUCAAUUUUGAUUGUUGGAUAAAGGCUGGGGGAAUGUGGCACCUUCGGGUGUGUUAUAGCCCUCGGUCACAUACAACAGUUGGGAUUGAGGAUCUCAGCACGCCUUUAUGGUCGGGGUUCGCCCACGUUCGUGCUUAGGAUGCUGGCAUAAUGGCUUUAAACGACCCGUCUUGAAACACGGACCAAGGAGUCUAACAUGCCUGCGAGUGUUUGGGUGGAAAACCCGAGCGCGUAAUGAAAGUGAAAGUUGAGAUCCUUGUCAUGGGGAGCAUCGACGCCCGGACCUGACCUUCUGUGACGGCUCCGCGGUAGAGCAUGUAUGUUGGGACCCGAAAGAUGGUGAACUAUGCCUGAAUAGGGUGAAGCCAGAGGAAACUCUGGUGGAGGCUCGUAGCGAUUCUGACGUGCAAAUCGAUCGUCAAAUUUGGGUAUAGGGGCGAAAGACUAAUCGAACCAUC
rnacentral:rRNA from 1 species